UACGUAGGCAGCAAGCGUUGUUCGGAGUUACUGGGCGUAAAGGGUGCGUAGGCGGUCCUAUAAGUAUGGUGUGAAAUCUCCCGGCUUAACUGGGAGGGUGCGCUAUAGACUGUGGGACUAGAGUGUGGGAGAGGAAAGUGGAAUUCCUGGUGUAGCGGUGAAAUGCGUAGAUAUCAGGAAGAACACCCGUGGCUAAGGCGGCUCUCUAGUACGGUACUGACGCUGAGACGCGAAAGCGUGGGGAGCGAACAGG
rnacentral:rRNA from 1 species